rnacentral:tRNA from 19 species
GGCCCUGUAGCUCAGCUGGAUAGAGCAUGUGACUUCUAAUCUCAAGGUCGGGAGUUCGAGUCUCCCCGGGGUCACCA